rnacentral:lncRNA from 1 species
UGAGCUAGUACUCCCGAUCUUCUUAUCUCUAUAGAUUAAAAAAUUAUUAAGUAUCAUUCAUUUAUUCAAGAAUUAUGAGGGUCAACAAUGUUAACUAAAGAUUCUAACACAUAAUUUGUGUAAGAUCUAUUAGGCGAGCCUCGAGCGUUGAGCAUGCUUAGGCGUGCAAUCGGGUGCUUAAGGCGUAAGUCUUACAGAACUAAGCCCCACAUAUGAGUCUCGGAGCGUUUUGCUAGAGCCCCGCCCCAGGGCGAAUCCCAAC